UGGGGAAUUUUGCCCAAUGGGGGAAACCCUGAUGCAGCGACGCCGCGUGAUUUAGAAGGCCUUCGGGUUGUAAAAAUCUUUUCUAUGGGAAGAAAAUGACAGUACCAUAGGAAUAAGGACCGGCUAAUUACGUGCCAGCAGCCGCGGUAAUACGUAAGGUCCGAGCGUUGUCCGGAAUCAUUGGGCGUAAAGGGUACGUAGGCGGGUAAGCAAGUUAGAAGUGAAAUCCUAUAGCUCAACUAUAGUAAGCUUUUAAAACUGCUCAUCUUGAGGUAUGGAAGGGAAAGUGGAAUUCCUAGUGUAGCGGUGAAAUGCGCAGAUAUUAGGAGGAAUACCGGUGGCGAAGGCGACUUUCUGGCCAUAACCUGACGCUGAGGUACGAAAGCGUGGGUAGCAAACAGG
rnacentral:rRNA from 1 species